AGACGAAGGCAUUGCAGCUUUGGAGGAAAUGGCUUCUGGCAAGCAGUCUAUAAAGUACAUACAGAGCACAGGCUCCUCCGAUGACUCUGCUCUAGCACUGUUGGCAGAUAUCACCAGCAAGUACCGUCCAGGCGAAAGCAAAGGACAGAUUAGCGAAGAUGACUGUGCAUCUGACCCCAUAAGCAAACAGGUAGAAGGUAUUGAAAUUGUGGAACUUCAGCUGUCACAUGUGAAGGACUUGUUCCAUUGUGAGAAAUGUAACCGUUCGUUUAAAUUGUUUUACCAUUUUAAGGAACACAUGAAAUCACACUCCACUGAGAGUUUCAAGUGUGAAAUAUGCAAUAAAAGGUAUCUUCGAGAGAGUGCAUGGAAACACCACCUAAACUGUUACCACCUUGAAGAAGGUGGAGUAAGUAAGAAGCAAAGAACUGGGAAAAAAAUUCACACAUGCCAGUAUUGUGAGAAACAGUUUGACCACUUUGGACACUUUAAAGAACACCUUCGAAAACAUACAGGUAAUCUGCACAUACUUUAUGUUUUGAGCAUUGUUUUUUCCUACGUUCACUUGAAAUCUAAAUCCUGUUUUCCCCUCUGUGUUUUCUGAUGAGCAUGGCAUACUCAUUGCUUGAAAUAACUGAUGCUUUACAUGCAAAUCAGUCCAGCCUUAAGAUGACUGUUGUUUUUAUGUCUUGCCCGCUUUUAUAUUCUUUAAAGAAAUAUGUAAAAUAGAUUAUACUUUAUUUGCUAAGUACCAUGAAUUAUUAAAUUUUAAUUAUGUGAA
rnacentral:lncRNA from 1 species